rnacentral:rRNA from 1 species
UAGAGUUUGAUCCUGGCUCAGGAUGAACGCUAGCUACAGGCUUAACACAUGCAAGUCGAGGGGAAACGACAUCGAAAGCUUGCUUUUGAUGGGCGUCGACCGGCGCACGGGUGAGUAACGCGUAUCCAACCUGCCCAUCACUUGGGGAUAACCUUGCGAAAGUAAGACUAAUACCCAAUGAUAUCUCUAGAAGACAUCUGAAGGAGAUUAAAGAUUCAUCGGUGAUGGAUGGGGAUGCGUCUGAUUAGCUUGUUGGCGGGGUAACGGCCCACCAAGGCGACGAUCAGUAGGGGUUCUGAGAGGAAGGUCCCCCACAUUGGAACUGAGACACGGUCCAAACUCCUACGGGAGGCAGCAGUGAGGAAUAUUGGUCAAUGGGCGAGAGCCUGAACCAGCCAAGUAGCGUGCAGGAUGACGGCCCUAUGGGUUGUAAACUGCUUUUAUAAGGGAAUAAAGUGAGUCUCGUGAGACUUUUUGCAUGUACCUUAUGAAUAAGGACCGGCUAAUUCCGUGCCAGCAGCCGCGGUAAUACGGAAGGUCCGGGCGUUAUCCGGAUUUAUUGGGUUUAAAGGGAGCGUAGGCCGGAGAUUAAGCGCGUUGUGAAAUGUAGAUGCUCAACAUCUGCACUGCAGCGCGAACUGGUUUCCUUGAGUACGCACAAAGUGGGCGGAAUUCGUGGUGUAGCGGUGAAAUGCUUAGAUAUCACGAAGAACUCCGAUUGCGAAGGCAGCUCACUGGAGCGCAACUGACGCUGAAGCUCGAAAGUGCGGGUAUAAAGCAGGAUUAGAUACCCUGGCAGUCCGCACGGU